UACGGGGGGGGCAAGCGUUGUUCGGAAUUACUGGGCGUAAAGGGCUCGUAGGCGGCCAACUAAGUCGGACGUGAAAUCCCCAGGCUCAACCUGGGAACUGCGUCCGAUACUGGAUGGCUUGAAUUCGGGAGAGGGAUGCAGAAUUCCAGGUGUAGCGGUGAAAUGCGUAGAUAUUGGGAAGAACACCGGUGGCGAAAGCGCUCUGCUGGACCUGCACUGACACUGAGGGACGAAAGCUAGGGGAGCGAAAGGG
rnacentral:rRNA from 1 species